CGACCCCAGCUUAGGAAAGAACACCCGCUGAGUUUAAGCAUAUAAUUAAGCGGAGGAAAAGAAACUUACAAGGAUUCCCCUAGUAACGACGAGCGAACUGGGAAGAGCCCAACAUGAAAAUCAUGUGGCAGUGUCGCCUGAAUUGUAUUCUGUAGAAGUGUCCUUAGCGACGAACUAGGCCCAAGUCCCCUAGAAGGGGGUGCCUGAGAGGGUGAUAGCCCC
rnacentral:ncRNA from 1 species